rnacentral:rRNA from 1 species
AGUGAACGCUGGCGGUAGGCCUAACACAUGCAAGUCGAACGGCAGCACAGGAGAGCUUGCUCUCUGGGUGGCGAGUGGCGGACGGGUGAGGAAUACAUCGGAAUCUACUCUGUCGUGGGGGAUAACGUAGGGAAACUUACGCUAAUACCGCAUACGACCUACGGGUGAAAGCAGGGGACCUUCGGGCCUUGCGCGAUUGAAUGAGCCGAUGUCGGAUUAGCUAGUUGGCGGGGUAAAGGCCCACCAAGGCGACGAUCCGUAGCUGGUCUGAGAGGAUGAUCAGCCACACGGGAACUGAGACACGGUCCAGACUCCGACGGGAGGCAGCAGUGGGGAAUAUUGGACAAUGGGCGCAAGCCUGAUCCAGCCAUACCGCGUGGGUGAAGAAGGCCUUCGGGUCGUAAAGCCCUUUUGUUGGGAAAGAAAUCCAGCUGGCUAAUACCCGGUUGGGAUGACGGUACCCAAAGAAUAAGCACCGGCUAACUUCGUGCCAGCCGCCGCGGUAA